GGGCGCAAGCCUGAUGCAGCCAUGCCGCGUGUAUGAAGAAGGCCUUCGGGUUGUAAAGUACUUUCAGCAGUGAGGAAGGCAAGGUACGUUAAUAGCGUGCUUGUUUGACGUUAGCUGCAGAAGAAGCACCGGCUAACUCCGUGCCAGCAAGCCGCGGUAAUACGGAGGGUGCGAGCGUUAAUCGGAAUUACUGGGCGUAAAAGCGCAUGCAGGUGGUUUGUUAAGUCAGAUGUGAAAGCCCGGGGCUCAACCUCGGAAUUGCAUUUGAAAACUGGCAGACUAGAGUACUGUAGAGGGGGUAGAAUUUCAGGUGUAGCGGUGAAAUGCGUAGAGAUCUGAAGGAAUACCGGUGGCGAAGGCGGCCCCCUGGACAGAUACUGACACUCAGAUGCGAAAGCGUGGGGAGCAAACAGGAUUAGAUACCCUGGUAG
rnacentral:rRNA from 1 species